rnacentral:lncRNA from 1 species
UCCUGUCGGGUUUUCGUUGUUGCUUUAAUGAUAUAAAGAUCUCUGAGGAGGAAAGAUGGGUAGUUAAUAUAUACAUUUAACUUAUUUCAUGUGUUAUUUUGGAUUCGUUUGCCUUGCCUAUCGAGCCUGAGAGUGGCCGUGCUGCUGGCAAACAGAAACUGGGAGCCAACGACCACUUAUCUUCCGCCUGGUGGCAGUGUAGAAGCCAAGAACAAAAACUGACAGAAGUUACUAUUCUCUAUAAGAAAAUGAAGAGAGUGAACACAUGACUAAUCACAGGAACCUGAAAAACCACAGGAAUGAAAUGCUGAUAGCUCCUUACUUUGGAGAGUGACUGAAAGAAAACAGAUCAUUCAUACAGUAUACAACAAAGGCAUUUUAUAAUCUGAUUUGUCUACCUGUGAUGAAGAAUUUUAGUUAAUGGAAGCUGCAGCAGUCUGUCACCAGGAAAUAUACUGCUUUAUUCAGAAUGGGUCCCAGGAGGUGUUGCGGAAGGGCAAAGGAGGCUGGACAUCUCCUCUACACUCUCACAACUCCUGCAGUUCCUAGGGCUAGGCAACUUUUCCAACUCGCCUCCAUGUGCAAUGACUUCCAAGGGGUAGCUGUGGCAGCUGGGGACUGCUGGAGCACACUGCACUCUGACCAUGCCUUCCUCCCCUUACAAAUCUACUGCGGUAUGGUACGGAGCCAGCAAUGCCAGUUCUACACCCCCUGGAAUUCUCCUACACCAGAGCUUGAAGGCUCUUUUGUGCUGCUAGAAAAACCUAAAGCAGCCUUAUCAGGGCUGAGCAGCCACCCCCUUGUCUUCGUCCUCACCUGCAAAGCAUCUAGCCUGCUAUGA